rnacentral:rRNA from 1 species
GGUUAAGUGACUAAGCGUACACGGUGGAUGCCUAGGCAAUCAGAGGCGAAGAAGGACGUGCUAAUCUGCGAAAAGCUUGGAUGAGUUGAUAAGAAGCGUUUAAUCCAAGAUAUCCGAAUGGGGAAACCCAGUAGAUGAAGAAUCUACUAUCAAUAGAUGAAUACAUAGUCUGUUGAGGCAAACCGGGAGAACUGAAACAUCUAAGUACCCCGAGGAAAAGAAAUCAACCGAGAUUUUGUCAGUAGCGGCGAGCGAAAGCGAAAGAGCCAGCAAGUGAUAGCAGCAAAGACAGAAGAAUUGGCUGGGAAGCCAAGCGACACAGGGUGAUAGCCCCGUAUUUUAAGUUUAUGUUGUGGUACUAAACUUGCAACAAGUAGGGCGGGACACGAGAAAUCCUGUUUGAAGAUGGGGGGACCAUCCUCCAAGGCUAAAUACUCCUG